CACGAUCGCGUGCCGGAGCUGAAGCUGCUCGAAGAAUAGUACUUGAACUAUUGCUCGUAAAGGAAGACGCUCGUUUUGUGCCGCGUGUGUGCACGCUUCUAAGGUUAGUUUCUCGCAGUCCAUUACUCCGCUUAUCUUCUCUCUCUCCGCUUCCGAUAGCCAUGGAUGCGCCUGUAAAAAAAUGCAAAAAUAAGUACGUAUAAUAAAAUCUCGAUCAAUAAAUAAAUUCGAUGAAAUAUAUGUAUUUUGAUCUCAAAUAUAGACUCUGGUAAAUGAAUAAUCUCGAUUCACAAUUACAAUCUUUAUCGAUACUCUAUUUAAAUACGCUAAAACCUACUGCUAUCAUAUAUUCAUAUAGUUUAACUGUACAAAACAAAGUGAAUUCUGUAAAUAUAUAUACACAAUUAGUAAUUAAUAGCUCUGUAAUUUCACUAUAAAACAGUAAAUGAAUAUAUAGGUAUAAUUUUGGGAGAUAAUGGACUUACUUUGAGAUAAACGUCAACCGCUCUGUAUAGACCGUCAUCAUACAGCCUGGCUUGAUGAGGUAAAGUUAUGGCAAAUUUGUAAAAUUUAUCUUGUUUGAGAUUAGCAUCAGAUGCAAUUUCCGAUAAGUAACCGUCGAUCAGUUUCCCGACGAGCAUCAAUUCUGACGGUGUUAUGUUUUCGUUGUCUUGUUCGUCCUCGUUUCGUGUCAUUGAGAUUUCAAGUUCAUCCAGAAAGUAACCUAAUAUCCUUUCCACACAGUCGACAUCGUAUAGCGUUUCGUUGAGGUACGAGUAGCUCGGUAUGAGAAGAUCGUCUAGUGUGGCUUGUUCGAGUUGUGAUCCGAUCUUCUUCUCCAAUGCGUCGCGAUAAGUCUCAGCAAUGUUCAAUAUAUUUGCUGUUCUCAGUAGUCCGAAUAAAAAUUUAAUUGCGGAGGUUGAAGAUGCGAGCCUCUUUUCGUGUGGGAGAUUCGAGAUUAUUGUUUCAAGAAGCUCUCGUUGUUCAUCUUGUGAUGGAGGUAAUGAAGUAGACGACGAUUGCUUCCAAUUUGAACGAGAUAUGCCUGGAAUGUACCUCUGCGCAUAAGCGAUUAAGCAACCUUCAAUUAGAUCUGGACUGGUGUGAUCUCGAGCUCUCAAGGCGGAAAUUAAUCGCUUAAACAGAGGCAAACCGAGAUCGCCAAGCUCAUCGAACCACGUAUUGCUUGUCCUUCGUCUUCCUGUACCAGAAUCUGUUUGCGAAGCUGAGGCUGGUUCGUUUACUGGCCAGCCAAAAAGUGACGGAUCUGUAGUAGAAGCUCUUUUAGCAACAGAUUCCAGGCAUCUAUUAACAAUGCCUAGUUUCUCAGCUUGAGGCAUUAUCAUCUUGCAUGAUUUCAGCGUCUUGAUGGAGUCUUUUAGGCUCUUGAGAACAGAUUGGGAGAGAAAUCUCUCUGUUCUCGAUAUGAGAUUGUCUUCAGAGUACUCGUCUGUCAUUUCUAAGAACUCCGCAGCGCAUCGGAGAGGAGCCACGUUCAAGGUAGUCAACUCGAUUUUGACUCCGUAACAGAAUUUGGCCGCAAUCUCAAAUGUAUCCGAGCCUCCCGGGAAAUCCGGGAGAAUUAUACUGCAGUACUCCAGACCUUCUUCUUCGACAAUCUCUGAACGAUGUUCGUCGUUAUCGUCCUCAUCUUCGCCUAAUUUUUGGAGUCUACUAUUACUUGGAUUAUUCUCCUGAUCUGUUAUCAGCUGGUGAAGUUUCCUACUUCUAGACAUUAGAGGGAACUGCAGAAAAAAAAAAUCAAUACAUUCAACAUUCUAGAUUAUAAUAUCGAAAAUUCGAGUGGCUGAAACUCAGACCGACCUUAUGGAGAUGAAAGGCCAUGUCGUCGACUUCGAUAACAACGUCGCUGGGUAAGCCGGUGGUACAAAACCUGAACACACACAAGACAAGAAGCAAAAACAUCAACAAUAUGCAGGUGAACUUAAAGAUUAGCUGAAGAAUGCAAAAUUGUAUUAUACUAAAAGCCCAACUUUACACACCAUGCUUGCCCUUUAGAGCUGGGCUUGUCAGUAGCCAUUAUCUUUCAACAAACUGUGGAGACAAACUCAAGAGAGAAGCAGAGAGCACUAACAAAGAUACACCAUUAUUAAAGCAACAGAAGAAAAGAACAAAUUUAAGUGAUGAGUACAGGGUAAAUGAAGAGCAGUUGAGAAUAUAUAAUGGGUAAGAUAUAUACAAGUGAGAAGAGACAAGGUGGGGUUUGAACAGAGUCGAAAGAAUGGAUCAAAAUUAGAGUAGAGUUUCCGCGAAUUCUCUCUCUUUUUUGAAUCUUCCUCCCCUUUCUCACUUGCUCUUUCUGGAGAUGUUAUUAUUAGAAAGUGAUGACUUUGAAUUUUCUGCUGUUUUUAUGGACUCUUCUUGACAUUAACGAUCCCCUCAUUGUCAUCAGAGAAACUAACUAUUGCUUUCCAACUGGUUUUAUUGCUUUUAUGGAUUUUUAUUUUAUUUUAUACUCCCUCCGUUUCAAUUUACAUGUCCACUUUCAAAAAAAAAAUUUGUUUCAAAUUACUUGUCCACUUACACUUUCAAUGCAAAAUCAUAUUUCCAAAGUCAAUUUUCCUCCACAUAUCUCUUAUUUAUAUUUCCUAGAUCAAUCUCACACCACAUAUUAUGCUCAUUUAAUGCAAUUAAUUUGUGAACAACUACUUUUCUUCACUUUUCUUAAACUGUGUGAUUUUUUUAAAGUGGACAUCUAAUUUGAAACGGAGGUAGUAUUAUUACGAGACGAAAGUAUGUCACAGAUAGAGAACGGGAAAAAAUUGUUAUCGAUUAUUUAUUUAUUUAUUUAUGGUACACUGAAUAUCAUCUUAGGUAUUAGAUUAAUAACCAGUGGACAUGUUAUUUGGUUCCCGAGUUACUUGAAAUCAGUUACAUUGUCAAAAAUGAUAUCUCACCUAUUGUAACAGAGGAAAACGACACGAAAUCAUGCAACCGUUAGAGAGAUCUCUCCUUGCAAUAUUUUAAUUGAAUUUUAAUAAUUCUGUAACAAAUUUGACAGGGAUGAGUUGUUGUAUCUUGAAAAAAAUCACUAUAAUUCGACAGAUAAUGGCAUUAGUUGUGUGGGGUUGUUUUCGUUUAGAAUUUUGUAACUAAAUUAAAUUAUUAUCGGAGUUGUUAUCUUAGGUAAUUCAGCUGUCCAUCCUUAGAGCAUCCAAGGCUCCUUACUUGAAAAAUAUGCCAGGUGGAACAAAACAGGGAUUUAUCUUCCUAAUUGCAAUUCCAUUGAGAUAAUCCUGAUCAAAAAAAUUUAGUAUAUUUAAGAAUGGAGCUCCUUGAAGCGCCUUGCCAGCGCCCGUAAGCCAGCAGCGCUCUAGAGCGCCUUGCCAGCGCCUUUGGAGCACCUUGCCAGCGCCCUUGGAGCACCUUGCCCUAUUUUUGUACCAUAUCGAUUACAAUACGUUAUAAUGUUAUGAAUGUAAGGAAUGACUUGGUUUAUGAGUUUGUAAAUAUAAACCAGGUUGGCGCCACCCCGUCGCUCCCCGGCGCUUAGGCGCCACCCCGUCGCCGGUGCAAUUCUAUUUUCUUUGAACUAUUUUUGUACCACAUCGAGAACAUAAUGAUAUAUUCUCAUGAAUAUAAUCGGUGAUAUAAUUAUUAGAGAAAAUGGGUAACCCCUGUCGCCGUGGUGCAAGCCCCACCCCUGUCGCCAAUUCAAAUCUUAUUUCCCCACAACCACCUUUGUACCACAUCGAGAAGAUGAUAAUAUAUUCUCAGGAAUAUAAGCAAGAGCUUAGCUAUUAAGUUAAGAAUAUAUUAGUCGAGGCAGGCGCCGCCCUGUCUCCAACCCCGAGGCGCCGCCCUGGCGCCCACUCAAAUGUUANUAUUCUCAGGAAUAUAAGCAAGAGCUUAGCUAUUAAGUUAAGAAUAUAUUAGUCGAGGCAGGCGCCGCCCUGUCUCCAACCCCGAGGCGCCGCCCUGGCGCCCACUCAAAUGUUAUUUUCUUAAACCAAUUUCUUCGUACCACAUCGAGAAGGAGUAAAAGGAGGGUCACUCCUUUCCUUAUAUAUACACAACACAUGCUAGCUUAUUCUAAUUAGGAAGCGCCGCUGCUAAAUUUGAUAUGUCUACUUAUUAAUUCCUAAUUUGUGAUUUAUUUUUAUAGUUUGUUAGCUCAGUUAUUAGGCUAGAUGUAAUUAUAGUAGUAAUAUCGGCGUGACUUAUGAUUAAUAUAUGUGUGAACAUUUUAGGGUAUGAAGUUGUAGACUCGAGAACGUUGUGCACUGUAAGUAUAUACUGUACCCUUCACUGUGAUAUUUUAUGAUGUUUUGGUGAACAUUUUAUUGAUGAUUUUCUUAUCAGAAUUGAGUAUUCUUACAUUUGUUUUGUGUGUUAUGCUUCCUUUGGGAAGUAAAGUGUGAUACCUCCUUCGGGAAGGAAAGCUAAACCAAUUGUUUAGCUGGCCGGGAUCCCAACUUGAUGAACGUGUGAACUUUUGAACGUGUUUGAAUACUCAUACUUAUCUUGAUGUGUGAAACUGUUUUGAUGACUCCGAUGAAAUAUUGAUUUGGUACACCAAAGUUUUGUGAAUAAAACUCAGUUGAAUCAUACGUAUAUGCUUACUGAGCUUUAUAAGCUCAUUUCUUUUUAUGUACUAACUUUGCAGGGAAGAAUUUUGGAGAAGGAUAUUAAGGAUAAUGCUAGGUGAAGAGUGUGAGCUGUUAAGUAUCCAAUAGUCAAGAGAAAUAUUCAGGGAAAUGUUCAAGGUUGGUCUCAGAUAGAAUUGUGUAAUUGAGAUUCAGUUGUAAACUAUAGUUGUAGUAGAUUAAUAGUGAUUCUUCUUAUCGAAGUUGAUCUGAUAACGGUAGUAGUUGAUUCUAAUUUCAAUAAUGUAACUUGGAUGCGAUCCUGUUGUUUUA
rnacentral:lncRNA from 1 species